UGUGAAAUUGCGAUUGGAGAA
rnacentral:piRNA from 1 species